rnacentral:rRNA from 1 species
AGAGUGACAGUUGGUGCAUGGUUGUCGUCAGCUCGUGUCGUGAGAUGUUGGGUUAAGUCCCGCAACGAGCGCAACCCUUGAUCUUAGUUGCCAGCAUUCAGUUGGGCACUCUAAGGUGACUGCCGGUGACAAACCGGAGGAAGGUGGUAAUGACGUCAAAUCAUCAUGCCCCUUAUGACCUGGGCUACACACGUGCUACCAUGGGCAGAACAAAGGGCAGCGAAACCGCGAGGUUAAGCCAGUCCCACAAAUCUGUUCUCAGUUCGGAUCGCAGUCUGCAACUCGAUGCGUGAAGCUGGAAUCGCUAGUAAUCGCGGAUCAGCAUGCCGCGGUGAAUACGUUCCCGGGCCUUGUACACACCUCC